GGCUACUACAUCCAAGGAAGGCAGCAGGCGCGCAAAUUACCCAAUCCCGACGCGGGGAGGUAGUGACAAUAAAUACUGAUACAGGGCUCUUUUGGGUCUUGUAAUUGGAAUGAGUACAAUUUAAUUCCCUUAACGAGGAACAAUUGGAGGGCAAGUCUGGUGCCAGCAGCCGCGGUAAUUCCAGCUCCAAUAGCGUAUAUUAAAGUUGUUGCAGUUAAAAAGCUCGUAGUUGAACCUUGGGCCUGGCUGGCCGGUCCGCCUCACCGCGUGCACUGGUCCGGCCGGGCCUUUCCCUCUGGGGAGCCGCAUGCCCUUCACUGGGCGUGUCGGGGAACCAGGACGUUUACUUUGAAAAAAUUAGAGUGUUCAAAGCAGGCUUAUGCUCGGAUACAUUAGCAUGGAAUAAUAGAAUAGGACGUGUGGUUCUAUUUUGUUGGUUUCUAGGACCGCCGUAAUGAUUAAUAGGGACAGUCGGGGGCAUCAGU
rnacentral:rRNA from 2 species